GUACAUUUCAUCUUUCAUAAACUAAUAAAAUUACACCGAGUAUAUUUAUUGUUAUUGUCAUCCCUAGAGUAGAGGCGGAGCCAGCUUUCUUUAGGGUGUUCGGCCGAACCCCUAACACUCUUGAUGAAAAAAUAUACUAUUUAUAUAUGAUUAAAAUUAUUUUUUAUAUGAUUAUAGUAGAUGUUGAACCCCCUUCGACUAAGUUUUCUUUUAAUAUUGAAACCCUUUAGUUGAAAUCCUAGCUCCCGCCUCAGCCCUAGAAUAGCCACUUUCUCUCGGUGGACUUUUGUCUAUUUUCUUUAACCUUUGGUAAUAUUUAGGAGAAAAAUGGGGUUGAAAAGAUUAUCACUUAAUUGACAUGAGAAAAUGGAAUAAUCGAGAAUCUCGAGUAACUGGUCAAGCCGCCAAAGUCGCUAAGGUAGUGAUAAAUCCUGUUAAUAAAAUGGGUCCUAUAGAAAGUCCAUCUAUUCCUAAUUUUCAAUGGAAAUCAAAAAAAUCGAUCCAUUUAUAAUCCUCCACUAGUUGUAUUAAUGGAUCAUCCGAUUGGAAAUGAUAACAAAAUGCAUAAUACAUAGGCUAAGUCAACGCCUAGGAAGUAAUUCAAAUAGAAUCCAUUUGUCCGGAGGAAAAGCCAUAUUUAGUAAUUGGCUGGUGGGAGGUUGCAGGUAUCACAUAAAAUUAAUUGAAAAAUAUAUAAUUUGGUCCGAGCAAUACGAUUAUAAAUAGAAUAAAAAGAGCCAAAAUCAAUAAAAUGGAUGCAUAUUGUUAUGCAUACCGGUUCACACUUAUGCCGGUUUGUUUGACAUUUCCAUCAAUUUUAACCGGUCAAAUACACAAUUGUCCCACAUGCAACCUCACAAAUGCAAGAGGAGCCUCACCUAGUCGCGGUUCAAGAAGCAAAUUAACCCAGAGGUAGAGACAUGAUGGGACUAGGGAGAAAAGGGAUUUAAGAAAUGCUACAACUGUUAGUCAAACUUAUGAUCUACAAUAAUUUUUUAGCCCUCUGUAUUAAUAUUCUAGAAGUGUUCUUUGUGUUAAUAGAAUCAACAAGCAAUAAAUAUAUACAUAAAGAAUAGUUCCACAGUUUCACUUAUGUACGUGUAAUUUUCUAACGAAUGAGAUGCAAUUAAUCAUCCCAUGGACAAUGUGUCUCCAUUACUGCAUUGCCUCAAGUCAAUAUAAAUCAUAAGGGGUUCCGGUUGCGUCCCAGCCCGGCAGACGCAAGGACAAAUUGCUUCCAUCGCAGAGGACCGGUGUCGUUUCGCGGAACCUCUUUCUAUUUUUAACCGUUUAAACAUUGAGCUUCGAAGAGCUUCAAUUCUACUGCUUUAUAAUUUUUCCUUAUUAUUCUUUUUAAGGGAAACAAAUUAAAAAGCAUGAUUGGAUAAAUAACUAUAUCCCUAAAUAAGAAGUUGAUGAGUGUGGAACAAGGAAAGACGUGCUGCUGAUAAUGCGCCAUAUGGCUAGCUGCUAUACUUUCAACUACUUAAUUAUUGAGUUGACCGAAGAACACAUUUUGUGUAAAAAUACGUUCAAAGAAACCAAUACACUAUACUGCCUCUCAGAAAUUAUAGUAACCUUACGUUGAACAAAAUGGAUUCCCAGAUCUCGGAUCAUUCUUGCUGUUAGCACAAAAGGUUCUGCAUUCGAGGAUAAGCCAAUCUCUUGUGAAAAAAGUGGUCUUGGGGGAUCUUAUAGCUCAGUUGGUUGACUAUCUAAACUAUCAUCUUGUUGGUGAGGUUUCGAUUUCCCACUUUGAUCCUCUCCCCCAAUGUAAUAAUUUUUCUUUUUGAAAUAAAGUGGUCUUUCAACAUUUACAGUUCUUUAAAAAGAUUCACAUAUAUUUUUUGGCCAUUGGAAUGGAGGUGGCUUUUCAUUUUGUUGGAGGGAGUUGAGUCUUUAGACUUGACAAGUUUAUAAUGUACAAAUGUCUUCUUAAAAGAGUAUAAAAGAUUAAUUGAACAAUAAAAAAGAAAGCUUUCAGCUGAA